rnacentral:rRNA from 1 species
UACGAAGGGUGCAAACGUUGCUCGGAAUCAUUGGGCGUAAAGCGCACGUAGGCGGCUUGCCAAGUCGGACGUGAAAUCCCUCAGCUCAACUGAGGACGUGCAUCCGAAACUGGCGAGCUUGAGUACUGAAGAGGAUCGCGGAAUUCCCGGUGUAGAGGUGAAAUUCGUAGAUAUCGGGAGGAACACCAGUGGCGAAGGCGGCGAUCUGGGCAGAUACUGACGCUGAGGUGCGAAAGCGUGGGGAGCAACAGG